rnacentral:tRNA from 1 species
GUAUAGAUCGGCUCAAAUGGUAGAGUAGCCGACAUGUCUUCGGAAGGUUCUGGGUUCGAAUCCUAGUCCGAGCU